rnacentral:tRNA from 1 species
GGAGGCGUGCCGGAGCGGCCGAACGGGACCGCCUCGAAAGCGGUUAGGGGUCUAACCCACCCCUCACAGGUUCGAAUCCUGUCGCCUCCG